AGCAAAUUGUCCCUAUUCAGCUGUAUGAAAUACAUUUAUAGGUUUUCCCAGGGGCUGCAGUUAAGGCAAAUUGAUAUGCUUCAGGAUGGUGUGGCAGGAAGCAGUCGGGCGCUGUCAAAGAUGAGCUACAAAUUGAGAAAAGUAUGCCAGAGGGCAAUCAAGAGGAGAGAAAGAAAGGGAAAGCAGAGAAUUGGAAGAGGGAAUGAAUUUGUGAUGCUGGACGAAAGCAACUUCUACCACAAAAGGAAGUAUGGAAGGGGGAGAUUUGGAGCUACCUGGAGGAGAAAAUGGGUCUUCGGAAUGCUGG
ensembl:lncRNA